AUGAAGUCGAAUUCGAAGAAUCAUCCAUCGAUUCAGCUUCACUCUGAUGACCUCCCUCUUAAUAUCUUUCCACUGAUCCCAAUCCAAACCCUAACCCUAACCCUGACAAUCUCUUCUCCCUCUCUUAAUUCUACUCCUUUCAUCAAAGAACAAAAUUGUUAUUUUCUCUUCUCUAAAACCUUAUACAUCGAAAAGAAGAGCGAUUUGUAUUUUGGUGAAGAUGGGAUUAACGUUCACGAUGUUGUUUAG